rnacentral:rRNA from 1 species
UACGUAGGGUGCAAGCGUUAAUCGGAAUUACUGGGCGUAAAGCGUGCGCAGGCGGUUUUGUAAGUCAGAUGUGAAAUCCCCGGGCUUAACCUGGGAACUGCGUUUGAAACUACAAGGCUAGAGUGUGGCAGAGGGGGGUGGAAUUCCACGUGUAGCAGUGAAAUGCGUAGAGAUGUGGAGGAACACCGAUGGCGAAGGCAAUCCCCGUGGACCUGUACUGACGCUCAUGCGACGAAAGGCGUGGGGAGCAAACAGG